AUCCCACUGAAGUGUCCCGAAUAGAACGAAACGCGCGUCCUUGAU
rnacentral:hammerhead_ribozyme from 1 species